AAUAGCCACGAAGCUGAAGAAUUACCGUCACCUGUCCGCUCUAGUCUCUCAUUUUUCACCGGCAAAACCAUCUUCAAUUUACAUAACCUCGACUAUAAAAUCUGAUCUCUAAACCUCUUAACCAUCUUAUCAUAUCCUUUGAAAACUUCUCUCGUUGCCAAAAUUCUCUCAUGUUAAAAUCGUAUUAUUCCGGUGAAGAUUCGUUGUUUUUCCGACAAACCAAAAACAAACCCAAAACACCAAACAAGUAAAUCAUGUUACCUAUCCUCACCUUUUGAUCACGUCUUUACGUUCGGAAACCUCUCGUGACACCCAACACAGUUUUCCGGCCAACCUACUCGUUCUCCGGCAACCUCUGUAGCAUCGACCAAGCUCUAUUCUACUCCAGAAAGAUCGUUACGAACACUCGUGAACAAAUCAACGUCAAUUUGAAAGGUUUAAGGUUAGCAGGGAUGGCGGGAAAGUGUGAAGAGAGCUAAAAUAAAAAGUUGGAAACUUAGUGGGGUAGUUUUAAUAAUGUAUGAAAUAAAUUAUCAGGAAUAAAUCUUUUGUAAACUCGUUUGGAUAUUAAUAAAAU